rnacentral:rRNA from 2 species
CUGGCGGCGUGCCUAAUACAUGCAAGUCGAACGAACUCUGGUAUUGAUUGGUGCUUGCAUCAUGAUUUACAUUUGAGUGAGUGGCGAACUGGUGAGUAACACGUGGGAAACCUGCCCAGAAGCGGGGGAUAACACCUGGAAACAGAUGCUAAUACCGCAUAACAACUUGGACCGCAUGGUCCGAGUUUGAAAGAUGGCUUCGGCUAUCACUUUUGGAUGGUCCCGCGGCGUAUUAGCUAGAUGGUGGGGUAACGGCUCACCAUGGCAAUGAUACGUAGCCGACCUGAGAGGGUAAUCGGCCACAUUGGGACUGAGACACGGCCCAAACUCCUACGGGAGGCAGCAGUAGGGAAUCUUCCACAAUGGACGAAAGUCUGAUGGAGCAACGCCGCGUGAGUGAAGAAGGGUUUCGGCUCGUAAAACUCUGUUGUUAAAGAAGAACAUAUCUGAGAGUAACUGUUCAGGUAUUGACGGUAUUUAACCAGAAAGCCACGGUUAACUACGUGCCAGCAGCCGCGGUAAUACGUAGGUGGCAAGCGUUGUCCGGAUUUAUUGGGCGUAAAGCGAGCGCAGGCGGUUUUUUAAGUCUGAUGUGAAAGCCUUCGGCUCAACCGAAGAAGUGCAUCGGAAACUGGGAAACUUGAGUGCAGAAGAGGACAGUGGAACUCC